CCCCCGUUUGGGUUUGGAUCCCCGCCGGUGACCUUGAGCUCCGCCUUGCCCUCUGCACCUCUUAGCUGUGCAGUGCAGGAGUGAUGGCGCGGCUCGGAGGGUUCACACGAAAUUCUUAAAGCUCCCCAACUUACUGGAACUUUGCUCCUGACGUUGUUAGGGAAAAUAUGAAAGUUUGAUUUUUGACAUCUUUUAUAUGCAAAAAGUGAACAUUUAUUUGCACAUUCUUUACUUUGCAUAUUCAUAUAUUACCACUCUAGAUUUCUCAUAUAUAUAUAUUUUUUACAAGAACCAGGGUACAGGCCAGAUGUGCAGGUGAGAGGAUUCACCAGAGACCAAGCAGGGAGCAGAUCAGGCAGACAGACCGAAGACACUGCUGAGGGGAGCAGUGAGGAGACAGGAGAGAUCUGCGCGCCAUCGUCGGACCUCGUCUUUCAGACUCGCUCCUCUCCCAGCGGGAACUUGGUUGGUCCAAACCCACCCAUUUGGAAUCACCUAGUGUCAGCUGCACUGCAAGGAAAAUUGUGGAGCACACAGGGGUGAAGUCCCUGAAGACAUUGCUGUCAUGGAUAUGAUGAAAUAGCUUACCAAUACUUUCUUCUGUGUAUUUUAUUAUUGUGAUUAUUAUAUCUAGAUCUUUCAUCCAUUUUGAAUUUAUCUUGAUCUUGUGUGUGGAGUUAGAGGAUGAUUCAACUUUAUUUUACACGUGACCACCCAUUUUCCCAGCACUAUCUGUCAGACUCUGCCGUGUUCAUGUGCGGUCCCAGCUCCUUUGUUAUAAAUUAGGUAUUGAUUUAAACAUGGAUUAAUUUCUGCACUUUUGAUUCUGUUCCGUUGAUCUGUUUGUUUUUAUUCCAGUUCUGUAUUAUUUUAAUGACUUGCUUUAUAAUAUAGUUUAAAGUUGGGGAACACAAUGACUCGUUUUUCUUGUCUACCCUUCCCCCCUUUCUCGCAUCCCCCAGAAUUGCUUUAGCUAUUCAUGGCCCUUUUUGGGUCCAUAUAACUAUUAGUGCCAUUUUCUUCCUUUCCUUACGAUUUAGCAUCAGAAUUUUAAUGGGGAUUGCAUUAAAUCUAUAUAUUGCUUUUGGGAAAAGAGUCAUUUGACUAUAUGAAUUCUUUCCACGAACAUGGAAUAUCUUUCCAUUGUUUAUUCUACAUCAUUCACUAGUGCUUUGUAGUUUUUGUUAUAUAAAUCUUUUACCCCUUUA